CGUGUCGGUCAUUAAAAGACUUCCGCGAAGGAUGCACUGGUGUAUCCUUGCUCAUAGCUCCUUAGAGAUCACUUCUCGAUCCUCACUCCUCGGCGCGCAAAUAAGAGGUCUGGGACGGUCUGCAAGAUGGCAGAGCGGAACAACUUGCAGUUCAAGCGAGGAAACGACAAAUAAGAGACUGGAGAAGCACCCUAUGUGUGUUUGUGGGCGUGUGCGGUUGUGGCUCCUGGCUCAUCACCACCUGCAGCGUCUCGCACCUGUGGCUCAUCAAGCAAUCAACCCAUGCAGUCAAAUACUCAGUCAGCUUCCACUCUUCACCAGUUCGUCAGUUUACCUCCAGUGUUGUUCCUGUGUGCUGAGUCGCUGCCUGCCUACCUGUUCGCUUGCCUGCAGCCUGCCAGCCAAUCUGUCCGCCCAGAACAGAGCUCUAGGACGCCAUUGUUGGACCCCCACUCAGUCUAAAAUUCUCUGCAUCCAACCCAAUCCUCUGGUUUUUCUCGAGCACAUUGAUAAUAAAACCUGCCUGUGUUCUUAUCAUC